GACGAACGCUGGCGGCGUGCUUAACACAUGCAAGUCGAACGGAGCGAAUGAAAGCUUGCUUUUAUGAGCUUAGUGGCAAACGGGUGAGUAACACGUAGACAACCUGCCGAUAGGAUGGGGACAACAUUCCGAAAGGAAUGCUAAUACCGAAUGGCGUGUAGGGGAGGCAUCUCCCGUACAUGAAAGAUGGCCUCUGAAUAUGCUAUCACCUAUCGAUGGGUCUGCGUCUGAUUAGCUAGUAGGUAAGGUAACGGCUUACCUAGGCGACGAUCAGUAGCCGGUCUGAGAGGAUGAACGGCCACAUUGGGACUGAGACACGGCCCAGACUCCUACGGGAGGCAGCAGUGGGGAAUCUUCCGCAAUGGGCGCAAGCCUGACGGAGCAACGCCGCGUGAGUGAAGAAGGUCUUUGGAUCGUAAAGCUCUGUGAAAGGGGACGAACGAUCGAGGGGGCG
rnacentral:rRNA from 1 species